ensembl:lncRNA
GGGCAAAGUGGUCAAGGGCACUGUACUUGCUGUAGUCGCUGACAAUCUUGGUGCUCACUCAAUAGGUGGCUUUGUUGAAAGCUUUUCAGCUUCACAUUUCUGUCGCUUUUGCAUUGGAGAACGGUCACAGAUCCAGGAGCAUGAAGUAGGAGAAGGACUGUUUCCUCCACGGACUAAGUCCAACUAUGCCAUGCAUGUCAAAGCAGCACUGUCUGAUCCAGCAGAAGGUCACCACUGCGGAGUUAAAAGACAGUGUCCCAUCUCAGACAGACUCAGUAAAUUUCAUGCUAUAUCAGGUUAUCCCCCUGAUGCUUUGCAUGAUUUGCUCGAAGGAAUUGUACCUGUGGAAAUAUCACUCUGUCUUGAUGUGUUAAUCAGAAAGAAAUACAUCUCUCUUCAGGAGCUCAACCAUUCCAUACGUUGCUUUCCUUACAAAUGGAGUGACAAAAGAAACUGUCCACAACCCAUUGCCCCGCAUUUCAACUUACGAAAAAGCGUAGGAGGUAACGCACACGAAAACUGGUGCUUGUUGAGAAUGAUGCCACUCAUGAUUGGUGACAAAGUCCCAGAAGAUGAGCCUGCUUGGGAGGUUUUGAUGAACCUUAAAGAUGUUGUGGAGCUUGUCAUGGCUCCUCUCCACACAGAUGAGACAAUAGGAUACAUGCAAAGUAAGAUCUCAGAACACCGUUACAGAUAUUUGCAAGUGUUCCCAGAGGAGAAAGUUCGACCAAAACACCACUUUCUCGAGCAUUAUCCAUGGCUUACAACUGUUUACGGGCCACUGGUACAUUUCUGGACUAUGCGGUUUGAAGCCAAACAUCGAUUCUUUAAAAGGAUUGUGAGGCAGACUGGGUGUUUUAGAAACAUUCUCAUGACAAUGGCAAGAAAACACCAAUCAAUGAUUGCGUAUCAUACCAACAAUUGCACCAACCAAAGGCCAGCACUGUCAGUGUCCCAGAGGACUCUUGUGGCAGUUGAUGUUCUUAAAGAUGGCAUUAAGGAGUCCUUCGCAAGGAAGUUCCCUGGAGAAGAGUUUGUGAACAUGACAAAUAAAGCAACCAUUUUAGGCACAGACUAUAAUAUUGGCAUGGUGCUGCCGUUUGGCUCAACAGGAGGCCUACCUGACUUUGGAGAAAUCCAGCAAAUAAUCAUUGUGCGUGAAACUCCUGUCUUUGUUCUGAAAUUGCUUAGUGGUUGGUAUUGUGAACACCUGAGGAGUUUCAAAGUAGAGCCAACAGGAGAGACAGAAAUCCUUAAACAUUCUGAAUUAAAAGAAACAUACCCCUUGGCUGCAUACAAUGCAGCAGAUGGCCGUAUGGUGACCCUUAAACACU